AAGGAGUCUAACAUGUGUGCGAGUAUUUGGGUGGCAAACCCAUAUGCGUAAUGAAAGUGACGGAUGGGAACUUUGGUGCACCAUCGACCGGUCUUGAAAUUUAUUGAUAGAUCUGAGUAAGAGCACAUAUGCUAGGACCCGAAAGAUGGUGAACUAUACCUGAAUAGGGUGAAGCCAGAGGAAACUCUGGUGGAGGCUCGUAGCGGUUCUGACGUGCAAAUCGAUCGUCAAAUUUGGGUAUAGGGGCGAAAGACUAAUCGAACCAUCUAGUAGCUGGUUCCCUC
rnacentral:misc_RNA from 1 species